rnacentral:rRNA from 1 species
UACGUAGGUGGCAAGCGUUGUCCGGAAUUAUUGGGCGUAAAGCGCGCGCAGGCGGUCCUUUAAGUCUGAUGUGAAAGCCCACGGCUCAACCGUGGAAGGUCAUUGGAAACUGGAGGACUUGAGUACAGAAGAGGAAAGCGGAAUUCCACGUGUAGCGGUGAAAUGCGUAGAGAUGUGGAGGAACACCAGUGGCGAAGGCGGCUUUCUGGUCUGUAACUGACGCUGAGGCGCGAAAAGCGUGGGGAGCAAACAGG